UUUAAAAAUUUAAAAACGACGGGCAAUAUGUACAUAUUUUAAAAAAAAAUUAUUCAAAUUUAAUAUAUAUUAAAUUUUAAUUUUAAAUUCUAUUUUAUUAAAAUAUUACAAGUUUAAAUUCAAUAAUUUAAUUUAACUGUAUUUCAUUUAAAAUUUAAUUAUAAUAUGCAUAUUUAUUUGAAUUAUAUUUUAUAAAAAUAUAAUUAAUAUAUAAUUAAUAUAUCAAUUUAAUACAACAAUAUACAAUAUAAAAACCGUAAAUAUAUUAUAAAGUGUAAUAUCUAUUAAAUAACAAAAUCCUCUAAUUUUAUAAAAUACUGCCAUUUAAAUUAAUUUUUUUUAAUUAAAUAAUAAUUAUUAAUUUUUUUUUAUAAAUUUUAAAUAAUA
rnacentral:rRNA from 1 species